UUUAUAUAUAUUUCAGUGACGUUUUGUGGUUGCUUAACCAUUGCAAAUUUAUUACAAACGUAGACGCGGCACCAAAAAGUUCCAUCGGAUAUGGAUUUUGCGUUUUCACGUUAGAGGCACUGACUGUCGUGGAGAAAAACAUCCAAGAUACCUUUUCAGAAAACGGGAACCACCCUUUGGUAAAGCUCGUAGCUAACGAAAAGCUGCAAUCAGCUUACAAGAAGAACAAAAGACUAGUUUCAUCGUAUACAGAAUCCGUCCUCGUCAAGGAAGCGUGUUCAGUGAUGAUGCAAGAGGUAAAGAGUAUGGUCUUUGAUUAUUUUUUGUAACAAGUAUUAUCUUACAAUAAUAUAUACGUUUUCAAAACAUGAUUUUAUUUAUAAGAGUGCGUAACAUUUUGUUCAUUUUGUGCACAACCACAUUUUAUUCACGAAAGUAUAAACUUGCGCUGUGUUUGUGUAAAUUUAAUUCGUCAAAUGUAAAUAUUUUAAAUGUUAAUGGGAAGAACAAAUUCUUAAAAUGUACAAUAUCUCCAUAUAACAUGCCUGUUAGACUGUCAAUAGACAUAGAAUCCCGUUUUAUUUUUUACGCGGUUUUUUUAAAGGCGAGUCCGAACAAUAUAAAUAGUAAAGGCAAAAAUUUAAAGUUAUAUAAUUAAUUGAAAAAAGUAUAUCGGUUUCGAAUGUCAUACAAUAAUUAUUUUCUUCUUUGGUGUCAAAGUAAACUACAUAUUCGUACAGAAAAUAUUUCACAGUACAUGUAU